ensembl:lncRNA
AUGGUUGCAAAGUGCAUGGCCAGGAAACAGCAGGACAACUGUUGCAGUGCAAGUGUGGGGCAGCUAUUCUACAUGGCCAUGAAGAAGGUGAAGAAAAGUGAUCCAGAACUAGUAGGGUCCAAGCAGCUGGCUGCAAAGACAAGAACCAGGGCAGUCAUUAUGCCUGGAAAGCUGGUGACACUUUCUCAGUUCAGUGGGGUAAGUGGGAGAGAUCAAGCAAGAACCAGAGCUUUGGUUUUGUGUCAAGAAGGUUCAGAAGACAACAGAUGCUUUCAAUGGGUUGCACAGAUUUUUGGAAUGUUAGCUAGAAAUAAGUUUUGCUAGUUAUUUGUGCCCUUUCAUGUAAAGUAUGCAAAAGCUGCAGGCUUCAGGAGGCUUCACCUGUGUUUUGGAGAGAGAGACAUGCCUUGCCCUCUGUUUGAGAACCUUCUUGUGAAGAUUUCCAAAGUCCAUACUUCCAUAAUUCUCCAAAGCUCAGUUCCAGUUAACAAAUUCAAAGCUUAUGAUAUAAAAAACUUGCACUAGAUUCCCAGGCAAAGGUUUCAGAAGACGGGAUUAAUCCUGAUAACAGGCUUUUGGAUUUUCCUUCAAAUUGCAGUUCUUUGGAUGGUCUCUGUGUAGAGGCCAAUCAUUGUUAGAGGCAUAGAACAAUUUACCCUAUGUCUCCUUCAAGCUUUCUGACCCAGUCAGUUCCUGCUCCUUCUGCUGUUUGUCCAGGUGUGCUCUCAAGUCCUUGACUGACUUUGGUGCAGUGGACAAAUUUUGCUGUCAAAGCAGCAGAAAGUAGGCACAGUUCUCCAACUUGGUAUUACAGAAAGAUUCUUUUGAGGACUCCAUUAUGUUAUGCAUGCUAGUCAGGUUGCAGAAAUAUUAUGGCCUCACAGAUUUUACAAACCUUGAAUGGACUGUGAAAAAUUCUUAAUGCAAAAGUAUACUUCAGUAUACUAUCAAAUCCCAUCGUCUUCAAAGAAGAUACUACACAGCGGGUAUAGAUGGUAUGGGUGUAUAAGAGGUGAGCUGGGAAUGUCAGUGAUCAGGAUCAUGAAGUCUGCAGUUGCAAAGGAAAGGAGGCAACAACGGAGGAGGCCCCAGGCCUGGAAAUGAGUGUUUGCAGGAAAAUGAAGAGUGAUUCAGUGGCCUUGAUGGCCAAUUAUGGAGCACAGGCUCUGUAACAGAUAUGGUUCUUUAAAGAAAAUGAUAAAGUCAGAAUCGUAGAAUAUCUGAGUUGGAAGGGGCCUUUAAAGAACAUCUAGUCCAGCUCUCCCCCUGCCAUGGUCAGGGACAUCUUUCAUUAGAUGAAGUUGCUCAAAGCCCCAUCCAGCCUGGCUUUGAACACUUCCAGGGAGGGGCAAUGAUCAGUUCUUCUUCUCUGCUCAGUCUUCUGUCAGUGCUCUGCUUUCCUAGUGCUUUUCUUAUAGAGAACAAUAAUACCAUUGCCUUUAUAAUUUCUUCAAUUAGAUUAAAACAUUGGAGUGAGUUCCAAGAUGCCACUGCACUUAAUCCUGAUUCUGAACCAUGGGAGGUGUCUUCCCUGAUCAUGGGUGUGACCUUUACUAAGUCUUUACUCCUUCCUUUCCAUUUUUGAUGCAAACCAUCUAUUGAGAAACAGGUUUCUGUUUGGUUUUGUGUUACCACUAUGUGUGUCCUUUGCUCCAGCUGAAUAGUGUAUUUUCAUGAUGGAUAUAGAUCCUUUACCUCUCUUGGAUUCCUUGACUGAGCACUUCUAUCACAAAGGCAUUCUCUGAGUCCAUUUACAGAAACAAACUGCAGAAGCUGUGCACAGCUUUGCUGUACUCUCUGUAUUUCAGAGACUUCUUCAGGUCUGUGACACCUCUGCAGCUGUCAGUCACUGCCUUCAAUACAUAUCCUUCAUAUGCAUGUUGCUGUGACCAAGAGCCAGGUUUGCCUAAGUCAAACAAGAAACAGAGAAUGCACCUGGGCAAACACUGUAGGAGGAGCACAGUGGGACAGGAUCAGAGAGCUCUCCCCAGCGCUGGUCUUGGUGGGCACAGGUCCUGUCAGAAAUCUGCCAGCAGCUGGCCCUCUCUGGCUACAGUUUAUUGUUUUUAUUGCUUUUAUUUUAUUGCACCUGGCUGGUGCUUUCUCUGGGAAAAUGACAGAUUUUAGGCAAAGGAGCAAUUUAAAAAUCUGUCUGCCAUUUUCAGUAACGUGACCUUCCUUCACAAGAAUGGGGAGAAUGUGUCUAUCAAAAUAAAAAGUGGCCGGUCUUCCUUGCCUGGCUGCCU